AUGCAUAGGAAUCUGCCCAGUAGCGGGGGAUAACCCGGGGAAACUCGGGCUAAUACCGCAUACGCCCUGCGGGGGAAAGUGGGGGAUCUUCGGACCUCACACUAUUGGAUGAGCCUAUGUCGGAUUAGCUUGUUGGUGGGGUAAUGGCCCACCAAGGCGACGAUCUGUAGCUGGUCUGAGAGGACGACCAGCCACACUGGGACUGAGACACGGCCCAGACUCCUACGGGAGGCAGCAGUGGGGAAUAUUGGACAAUGGGGGCAACCCUGAUCCAGCAAUGCCGCGUGUGUGAAGAAGGCCUGCGGGUUGUAAAGCACUUUCAGCAGGGAAGAAAAGCUUGGCGUUAAUACCGCCAAGUCUUGACGGUACCAGCAGAAUAAGCACCGGCAAACUCUGUGCCAGCAGCCGCGGUAAUACAGAGGGUGCAAGCGUUAAUCGGAUUUACUGGGCGUAAAGGGCGCGUAGGCGGCCAAAUGAGUGUGAUGUGAAAGCCCUGGGCUUAACCUAGGAAGUGCAUCGCAAACGAUUUGGCUGGAGUACAUGAGAGGGUGGCGGAAUUUCCGGUGUAGCGGUGAAAUGCGUAGAGAUCGGAAGGAACGUCGAUGGCGAAGGCAGCCACCUGGCAUGAUACUGACGCUGAGGCGCGAAAGCGUGGGGAGCGAACAGGAUUAGAUACCCUGGUAGUCCACGCUGUAAACGAUGUGAACUAAAUGUUGGUAGGGGAACCUAUCAGUAUUGAAGCUAACGCGAUAAGUUCACCGCCUGGGAAGUACAGCCGCAAGGUUGAAACUCAAAGGAAUUGACNGGGGCCCGCACAAGCGGUGGAGCAUGUGGUUUAUUCGAUGCAACGCGNANAANCCUUACCUACUCUUGACAUCCUG
rnacentral:rRNA from 1 species